CGGGAAACAUGGCGGCGGUGGAAAGAGAAUUGCGUGAUGUUGCAGCAUAUUUAGGGGUUCCAUGUGGAAAAAUAACGUUUAAUGAAUUGGUAAUAAUGCAGAGGAUCAAGCUUUUAUCGACCAAUGGUUAGAAUAUAGAGUUAUAAGUUUAAAUACAUGUUCCAAUGAAAAAGAGCUUAGUAAUAGAUUAAAUGAAUUGAAUUUAUAUCUUAGUGAUAAAG